rnacentral:miRNA from 1 species
UGUGUGUGUCUGUGUGUGUGUGUGCGCGCGCGCACGCGCACACAAGACACACACA